CAACCUGCCGUAUACAGGGGAAUAAUCAUUGGAAACGAUGACUAAUACCGCAUGUCACCAUUGGGAGGCAUCUCGCGAUGGGAAAAGGAGGAAUCCGGUAUACGAUGGGCCCGCAUCUGAUUAGCUAGUUGGUGAGAUAAUAGCUCACCAAGGCGACGAUCAGUAGCCGACCUGAGAGGGUGAUCGGCCACAUUGGGACUGAGACACGGCCCAAACUCCUACGGGAGGCAGCAG
rnacentral:rRNA from 1 species